GCCUUCGUGGUGUAAUGGUCAGCACACUGAGCCGGUAUGCCAGAGGUCCGUGGUUCGAUCCCCGGCGAAGGCA
rnacentral:tRNA from 1 species